rnacentral:rRNA from 1 species
CAGUAGCCACGGGAAUACGAAGGGGGCUAGCGUUGCUCGGAAUUACUGGGCGUAAAGGGCGCGUAGGCGGCGCUCCAAGUUAGGCGUGAAAUUCCCGGGCUCAACCUGGGGACUGCGCUUAAGACUGGAGUGCUUGAGGAUGGAAGAGGGUUGUGGAAUUCCCAGUGUAGAGGUGAAAUUCGUAGAUAUUGGGAAGAACACCGGUGGCGAAGGCGGCAACCUGGUCCAUUACUGACGCUGAGGCGCGAUAGCGUGGGGAGCAAACAGGAUUAGAUACCCCUGUAGUCCCUGUCUCUUAUAA